rnacentral:lncRNA from 1 species
CAGAAAGAGCAGCACUCUCCGCUUUCGUCAGCCGUCGCCGCGUCGCAGUCGCAACAAUAGUUGUUCUGGCCGCAGAGCCCAGACAGGCAUUCGUCGUUGUUGCCCCAACACCGUGAGCCCGCAUUGCCCUUCGCUCUGCAAUCGUAGGUACCAUCUCGGUACUGCGUUGCGCUGUCACAUAUCUGCCUGCAUCUGCCGUAAUAGAUCUCAUAACCCUCAUCGCACUCUGUACAAAAGGCCGAUUCUGCUGCAUCGCACUGUGUGCAGUUCUGCAUGCCGUUGCUCCAUCGAUCGGCAAAGCAACACACUCCGCCGGCACACAUUUUAUGGUUGUAGCAAUCGGAGUCCGAGCUGCAGCUCUCGCCUGCAUUCUUCAAGGUGGAGCAAGCCCCGUUGCCUGAUGUGCAAAUUCCGCAGCCCUGAGCCACUGCUGUGUCGCUACAGCAAUAGUUCCCUUUGCAACUGUUUGACAGGCAUUCGUCGUUGUUGCCCCAACACCGUGAGCCCGCAUUGCCCUUCGCUCUGCAAUCGUAGGUACCAUCUCGGUACUGCGUUGCGCUGUCACAUAUCUGCCUGCAUCUGCCGUAAUAGAUCUCAUAACCCUCAUCGCACUCUGUACAAAAGGCCGAUUCUGCUGCAUCGCACUGUGUGCAGUUCUGCAUGCCGUUGCUCCAUCGAUC